UCGUGCCUUGAUGCCGAACAGGAGGUUGGGCCCGCUUGGGGAGACCAAAGCGGGCCCAACCUCCUGUUCGGCACCUCGCUCAGA
rnacentral:sRNA from 1 species